CUACGGGCUGCUCCAGGCAGGAAACCUUUACAAUGCACGAAAGUGUGAUAAGGGGACCCUAAGUGCUUGCCUUCGGGUGAGCUUUUGCUAAGUGUAAAAAUCUUAGCGAAUAAGUGGUGGGUAAGACCGGUGCCAGCGAGCCGCGGUAAUCCCGGCGCCACGAGUGGCAAUCAGUUUUAUUGGGUCUAAAGCGUCCGUAGCCGAUUUGGUAAGUCUUUUGUUAAAUAGUUAAGCUUAACUUAACUUCUGCAAAAGAUACUGCCAAGUUAGAGAUUGGGAGGAGGCAGAGGUAUUCUUUGGGUAGCGGUAAAAUGCGAUAAUCCUUGGAAGACCACCUGUGGCGAAGGCGUCUGCCUAGAACAAAUCUGACGGUGAGGGACGAAAGCCAGGGGAGCAAAACGGAUUAGAUACCCGGGUAGUC
rnacentral:rRNA from 1 species